rnacentral:rRNA from 1 species
GAUGAACGCUGGCGGCGUGCCUAAUACAUGCAAGUCGAGCGAACAGACGAGGAGCUUGCUCCUCUGACGUUAACGGCGGACGGGUGAGUAACACGUGGAUAACCUACCUAUAAGACUGGGAUAACUUCGGGAAACCGGAGCUAAUACCGGAUAAUAUAUUGAACCGCAUGGUUCAAUAGUGAAAGACGGUUUUGCUGUCACUUAUAGAUGGAUCCGCGCCGCAUUAGCUAGUUGGUAAGGUAACGGCUUACCAAGGCAACGAUGCGUAGCCGACCUGAGAGGGUGAUCGGCCACACUGGAAUUGAGACACGGUCCAGACUCCUACGGGAGGCAGCAGUAGGGAAUCUUCCGCAAUGGGCGAAAGCCUGACGGAGCAACGCCGCGUGAGUGAUGAAGGUCUUCGGAUCGUAAAACUCUGUUAUUAGGGAAGAACAAAUGUGUAAGUAACUAUGCACGUCUUGACGGUACCUAAUCAGAAAGCCACGGCUAACUACGUG